UCCGAGUUGACCCCGGCAGUCUCCUGUGAGUCCCCAUCACCCCGAAGGAGCACCGGCUUUCACCGGUUUCACCCUGCAUGUCAAGCCCUGGUAAGGUUCUUCGCGUUGCGUCGAAUUAAGCCACAUGCUCCGCCGCUUGUGCGGGUCCCCGUCAAUUCCUUUGAGUUUUAGCCUUGCGGCCGUACUCCCCAGGCGGGGUGCUUAAUGCGUUUGCGACGGCACGGAAGGGGUUGAUGCCUCCCACACCUAGCACCCAACGUUUACGGCUGGGACUAC
rnacentral:misc_RNA from 1 species